GUGCUUGCUUCGGCGGCACAUACACUAAAAUUGAAACGAUGCAGAGAAGACUAGCAUGGCCCUGCGCAAGGGCGACCUGCAAAUUCGGGAAGCGUUCCAUAUUUUU
ensembl:snRNA U6 U6 spliceosomal RNA